rnacentral:rRNA from 1 species
GACGAACGCUGGCGGCGUGCCUAAUACAUGCAAGUCGAACGCAGUGGGGACGGGUGAGUAACACGUGGGUAACCUCCCAUCAGAGGGGAUAACACUUGGAAACAGGUGCUAAACCGAUACUGAUGGAUGGACCCGCGGUGCAUUAGCUAGUUGGUGAGGUAACGGCUCACCAAGGCCACGAUGCAUCGCCGACCUGUGAGCGUGAUCGGCCAGACAGGGAGUGAGACACGGCCCAGACGCCGACGGGAGCCAGCAGUAGGGAAUCUUCGGCGAUUGACGAAAGUCUGACCGAGCAACGCCGGGUGAGUGAAGAAGGGUUUCGGAUCAUAAAACUCUGUUGUUAGAGAAGCGGUAUUUAACCAGAGGGCCGCGGGUAACUACGUGCCGGCAGCCGCGGUAAUAC